UGAAAAACAUGGUGUUCUCAAAUCUAAUC
rnacentral:sRNA from 1 species